rnacentral:lncRNA from 1 species
CGACGUCUUUGCCGAGUGCAUUGCCAAAACACUCGGCAAAGGCGUCAUAAAAUUUUUGCAGGAUUGGCCCGUUUGCCGAGUGCCAAGAGGAAGGCACUCGGCAAAAUAUGCAACUUUGCCGAGUGCCACUAGGAAACACUCGGCAAACAGCUGAAAGAAAUCUGGCGGGUGGGGCCUCUUUGCCGAGUGCCGCAUAAAAUACACUCGGCAAAGAUGUCAUGUUUGCCGAGUGUCAUCUGAAAUACACUCGGCAAACUGUGUACCUUCACCGAGUGCAAUGUAUAAAUACACUCGGCAAAAUUUAAGGGUUCGCCGAGUGUCUGCCGUCUGACACUCGGCAAAGUAGCUGUUACCGUCGCUGACCGUUAUCGCCUUUGUGCCGAGUGUUAUAUUUUGCCGAGUGUUUUGUGGCACUCGGCAAAGGCUUUGCCGAGUGCCCGAUGGUCGACACUCGGCAAACACACUGUUUGCCGGAGGGAACUUUGCCGAGUAUAGUUCGCCGAGUGUUACACUCGGCAAACCCUUUGCCGAGUGUAUUUGGCCCUUCGCCGAGUGCCUGGGGCACUCGGCAAAGUUACUGUUUCCGGUAGUG